GGAGGCCAGGGCCCGGAGGGGCUAGUUAAUUGCGAUAAAAAUGAAGAAAUACACCACUAAACCAGUUGUUCCUACAGAUCUUAGAUCAGUAAGCCAUUCACACCCACCACCUGCUUACAUAACACACAACCAUCACUAAACAGUGAAGAAAUGGCCAAGCUUGCCGCCCUCUAGUGACAUAACAUCAAAGCAGAGAUGGAUCCCACACCCUGCUGGCUGGCUGAAGAAUGAAGACUACUCUGUCAGGGGAAUAUCUGCUCAGUUAGUAAUCAAGCAGUUGGUGUUGUCUGUAGGAGUGAAUAUGGUCACUUUCUAGAUGCAAGAGCGCUGGUUUUCCAUGGGCUGACGUGCUUUCUAGAUGCAACUUUCAAGUUACUCCUCAGUCCUCAAAAUUAACGCUAGGAGUUGAUGAAGGUACAACUCAGUUCAUUAUCACCAAAGAAUGCCCGGCUCAAGUACUUUAGCAGGAAUAAGGUAAAAGGCAUUUAAAAAAAAUGGAGCUGUAGAAGGGUAAGAUAACAGAGGAAAACAGAACAGUGGACAAUGAGAUUACCUCCAAAAUUCAAGGACUGAAGGCUUCUGAUGAACGGUGUUGAAGAGUUCUGGUGCUCUACUUAUACCAGCCCUAGGUUAUCCACAUGCCAAAUAGAUGUGCAGCCACCUUAGUAGAUUGAUGGCAUGGCAUUCAGCAUUUGAACAUCUAGAAGCCAAUUUGUAUGUAGAUC
rnacentral:lncRNA from 1 species